CGGAGACGGGAAACUUCUCGUUCUCUCCGACUCCGACACCGCCACCAGGCCGACCGCGACGGCGAAUGGCGUGCCAUGGCCGCCGUCGUCCUCCGCCACCGCCGCCUCCUCCUCCUCCUCCUCCUCCUCCUCCUCCUCCUCCUCCUCCUCCUCCUUUGUCCCCUUCCCUCCGGCGGCGGCGGCGUGGGCACCAGGCGACGGCGCAGCUUGCAGGCGGUGCGGCAACGCAGGUGAGGCCCGACGACCUCCUCCCUCUCCUCCAUCCUUCGUGCGGCCUCCUCGGUGCCUCCUCUUGCCUCGACCCCUUCACGCUUCCUGUGGCCGAAACCCUAGCUGCCCGAACCCUAGGCUUGGCGUGCUGGGGCAGCAGGAGGGCCAAGCUCGGCGGCGGGCGGCGCGAUGGUGCUCCUCUCUCUGUUUCCUCUCUCUCCUUCUCCCCUUCUCUACCCUCCACAGGCCUCCUCGAUGCCGCCGCCGUCGGGGACCGUGAGCUCCUCAGCUCAGCGAAACCCUAAGUACUAUGCCGGGCCUCGAUCUAUUUUCCUAUUUGCCCGAUGUCAAGUGCCAGCAGGCUGCAGGCUGCACGCGUCGUGCUGCAAGCAGUGGCCAUGGACUGCCAUGUCAAGUUCACCUAAUGCCUUUGGUAUAUUUGGAUCACGCAGGAUAAUAAAAGUUAUUUAGAGCUAUUUUUUAAUACGACACAAUCUACCAUGUUGCCGCCAUGUGUUAUGCUCUUGAUGCUAAAUAAACAGGUGUCUACAUAUUGGGACACAUCUACCAAGACUCAGUAUCAAUCUGGCUGCUCGACUUAUGGAUAUAGGCUGCUCCGAUGAUUGGGACACAUCUAGCAAGCCUCGGUAUCAAUCUGGCUGCUCGACUUAUGGAUAUAGGCUGCUCCGAUGGUAAGAUAUUGACUCCAUGUAGUUUCAAAGCCAUGUAUACAAAUCCAAUAUUAAUCUCUUUUGGCAUUAACGAAGGAGCUCGUGUAUUCACUAUAUUUCAUAUCCUAUUGGGUUUGCACUGUUACACAGCUAGAUUCUAAUGAUUUCAUUUCUUACCGUUGGUUUUCAUAGCAUGUGUCUGAACCUUUUUAGUUUUGAAUGUCAUCGGUUUACAGGUUUUAGUCGGUAUGGAUUAUUCUUUUGCCUAUCCAGUUUCCUUUCUUUGUGCUUUUUUGUUUGCCCAAACAUUUUACUCUUUAUAUUUAUAUUACUGCAGCCAAAGCAUGUGAAUUAUUGGGUUGAUGUGGGCUAUGUGAGUGCGUGCAUUUCCAUCUCCGCAUGUUUGGUCCAUGAAGUAUUUGCUGAUUUCUUGUUGCCUAUUGACAUGCCAUGUUUAUAUAGUAUAAUUGUGCUUGCUGUAUUGUUAGUACUAAUGGUUAUAGUUACAAAUAUUUAUUUUAGUCUAAACAUGGAUGCACCAUAUAUUAGCCAUUUCUUCUACAGAAUGAAAUUGCAGCAUAUCAUCUAUGGAUUUCUUCUUUAUUUUUAGAGGUUUUAUGUUUAAAUCUUCUGUUCUCUCUGCUCCUACAGCUAUGUUUUUCUCUUCAAACACCGACCAAUUAUUUUUGGGAGUCCCCAGCACACCUUUUUCUUAUUUAUUCAGCCACCAAAAUCAUAUGCCAGUUUUCCCUAUCUUAUUCCCAAGGCUCUUUAGACAACAAAAAGACGCAUGACUUCUUCAAUCUUAACAAUAUUUGGUUCUUUUACCAAAAUUAGGAUUAUACCAGGUUGAGUAAUGCAUUUUCCUAUUGCAUUGUACCUACCAGCACAGCUCAUGCGCUGAUCAUUUAGCAUUUCCUAUUAAAGAUAUUGUUGUUAGGCAAUUGUUAUGCUUUACCAGCAAAUCAUUUGAUUAUUACCUCUUAGCAAUUGAGCUGUUUAUGCAAGGGCUAUUUGUCAAAUUGUGUACUCCUUUCUACCAGGGUGUAACUACUGGUGCCAGUGGCAUUGAGUCUCUAUAGUGUGGCUUUGUGUGAUUGAUUCCAAAAUUUUAUGCCUCAAAAAUGAUAUCUUUUUGUUUCGUUUUUUUGCUGUUGCCAAAGAUUCUGUCACAUUUAAAUUUUGAGCAGGCCAUACAAGAGCCUUUGUUCUAUGAGACUGUAAGAUGUAGUGCAGCGUAAAUUGUUUCGUGGAAAUGCCUAUUAAGGUUAAGCACGCACUAUAUUUUUGGUGUGGGACAUCAUCUGCACAACAAAAAUGCAAUCCUAAAAAAAUUGUACGUAGUCUAUAUUUUCAAAUUUUCUUUUACAGUUUUGAUUAGAAAACUAUGAGUUUGUAUCGUUGAUUUUUUAAAUAAGUUCUUCACCCUUACGUACCUUGUUUUGGAUUUCAGAACCUGCUCAUGCAGCUAGACAUUUAUGGGCUACUUAUGGCGUCCCAGCGUGUAUCUGCUCAUGGUCUAAUGUUUUCUUCUAGAUUAAUUCCCCCUCCUAACACACGCCACUGUUUGUUACCUGAAACACAUGCCUACUAUAAUCCUAUGAUGAAAACUCAGUAUCUAUUGCUCAAGGAUACAAUCUGAUGUUCAUUUUCCUGUGAGGUACACGUACAGGGCAUGGCUUGUUCCCUAUAUGAUGAAGUUUUUAAAGAGUUAUCUAGCUAUCAGCAUGCCCUGAAGCUCUAGGUUCAUGAACAAAUCAAGGAUAUAAUCUCAUGUCCAUUUGCCUGUGAGGUACUGGGCAUAGUCUCUUACCUAUAUUAUGCAGUUUUUAAGAGUCAUCUAGGUAACAACAUGCCCUGAAGCUCUAGGUUCAUGAACAAAUGAUGAUUAAUACAUUUCUGAAGCCUUUAAGAAUCUUUGUCGACUUUUUAUAUGGUCUAAGCCUAUUUUCUGAUAAUCUCCUAUCCUACCGAGUUGCCAAUUCAUCUCGUGCAUUCCACAUUCGUUAAUUAUAUUUUUUACUUUUAUGCCUCUUAUCAUGAUAUCUGACACAAUUUGAACGACUCUUAGGGGCUAUCUUUCAUGUUUCCUAACUAAAGUCAGCUAACUGUGUGUCAUGAAUUAUUGUUGUCGUUGCUCACAACAUGUUGAUCCCAGUUGCAAAGUUAUUUUCAUGUUUUGGGGUUCUAUAGUGUGGCAACAAAUGCUACUUACAUUCUCUCUCAAAUAUUUUCAUGUUUAUUUUGUGGGCUGAUGGACAAAGGAGAAGGAUUUAGCUAAUUGAUUUAUUUUUUUUGGGUGACUCCUCCGCUUGCUUUGUCUAUAUUUUUAGACUUUUCUAUGAAUCAGAUUGGAGACCAACUGGAUGCUUUAUUUUAUCAUUUACUUGAUUGUAGCUUCUCUUAUCUCAUGAAGGCAGGUGAAGCAUAUUUAAUCCUUCAUUUUUCUAUGCCUACCAGUUGUCUUACCCAAUCUAAUAUUUGAUGCAGUCCUACCCCAUUAAAGGUAUGCUGGAGUCGUUCAUUUUACCAACCAUUGAUAUAGUGGAUGGAAAAGUGUGAAACACAAUAUUGUGUUUACAAAUUGCUUUUAUAUUAUGCAUUCACCUUUGUUAUCAGUACUCUUCUUACUCAUGUGCUUACCAGCACGUGCCUUUCAUCCUUGUCAUCAUUAUCUUGUGUAAAAAAGGAUUUAUGUUCACACUAUAUGUUUUGGUUAGUACAAUUUGACUGGUCACUAUACUUAGUACCAGGUAUAGAACUGAACAAUGUCUAACUCUGAUGUCCUAUGCACAAAGAUAGUGCCAUUGUGGUCAUGUACAGAUCUCAAGCAGACCAUAACGGGUCAACUCACCGACAAGAUGAUGAUGUCUUCUCUGAGCCUCAUCAAGGUCAGCGACCAUAUAAUUUGCAAAAAUAAGGUCAGUGACCACAGUAGUAAUUCCUUUGUGUUCCUAAUAUUUGUUGUUAGUCUUCCUAUAGCGUACUCCUUAAUAUGUACGUUAGACCCGCUUUUAGGAAAUUCACACAAAGAUGACAAACAUGAUGGCUAUGAAUUCGACAGUGCAUUGAUCCUGCUUCAACCCAUACCAUUUAUUUGUAUGUUAUGUCAUUUUCGGUUAACCAUACUAUGAAUUUGAGUGCUGCCAUUCGUUUUGUCUGCAAUCAGCUAUGUCUUACGACAUGUCUAGAAAUAUUUAUGUUAUUUAUGAUUGAAUCUAUAGAAUAUAUUUCUUUAUCAUGCUAUUUAAGUCAACCUUGUCAUCAAUUUGAAAGCACAAUUUACAUACUGUUAAAUUUUGGUGCAAAUUAAUUUCCGAUUCAAGUUGUUAAUGUGAGCUAGCAGUUUCCAAGUUAUAAAACUUCUAAUUCUGUAUCUAACUAGCGCCCAUGUUACAUAGUCUUAUCACUGUUGAAGACUCUGAUGAUCUCACUGACAAUGAUGAAACUCUCCCAUCUCACUUAACAUUAGAUUAGAGGUCCAAAAGAUAAGUAUAAUCAAUCUGUCUUCCAAGCUUUAGACCUCAUAAGGCCUCUAUGUGUACUGUAACCGUAUUUGCAACUUAUGAUGGUACAGCCGCAACAAUAACCAGGCAUAAAACUGACAGAUCGAACAACUGGGCAAAAGUUAGUGCCUGAAAGUUUACUUCAGCAGAAGGCACAAAAUAGUGUCCUUUUGCACUACGAAACAUCGUGCUCCUGAGCUUCUAAGCAAUAAAUAUUCAAAGACAGAAGCUUUUCUAGACUACAUUUGGUAGAACUUUAGAUCACUAAGUUAUGAGGCUACAAACUAUCAUGGAUGAUUGUAAUUACCAGUGUUGCCCCGCACAUCUGCUACCUAUGCCUUACAAAACCAAACACAGUCUAUCUUAUUCAGCAAUUACUUACACU